rnacentral:rRNA from 1 species
UGCGUUUUAAUUUUUGACUCUAUUUGUUGUGGUGCUAUGAGUUUUUAGUUUGUUUUUAUGUUGUUUUUUGUAAAAUAUUUUGAUUUUUUUUUAGUUUCUUGUGGUAUCAAAAAUUUGUUUUUUGAACUGGAUUAGUACCCAGGUAAUCAAAAUUUAAUAAUUCGGGAGUAAAGUUUUGUUUAAACCGAAAAAAUAUUGACUGACUUUAGAUUUUUCUUUGGAACAUGUGAUUUGCUGGAGAGCCCUCUUUUUUGGUGAAUUUUGUUGGCACAUGUAUGAUUGUUUAGUUUUUAUUUUAUUUUGUAAUGCUUUGUUGUUUUGGCAUUAAAAACAGAUAUAUAUUUGGCUUAUGAAUUUAUGUUUCAUGUGUUACUAUUAUGAAUUUUUUUUGGAUUAGUUUUUUAUUUUUUUUUGAAAUUGGAAAAGAAAGUAAUUUUUUUUUAAUGUCUUAAUGAAUUUAAUAAAUAAGG